GAGAAUUGGGUGGUGAUACUGAUAAUCGCCACGCUACAGGAGAUACGUUCUCCUCACUGUGAGCACGUUCAACGCCUUCCAUAGGCCUUGGUCCACUGUCGCCAGUCUGGUUUGCUGAAUUCGGAGCAUGCCAGAAGUUGUGGUAGUUUGCGUACCUCGACCCAUCCUGACCCGACGUUCCGAACGACUAGCCUGCUCCUGAUCCUUGAUUAGACACCUGCACGGUUUCAAGGGUUAAUCCUAAAGAAAGAAAAAUUCCCAAGGAACUAAUGCUAAAACUACUCCCUAAAAACCGUAAGCGGAACGGACCGGUUUCCUAAUGUGGCAUAAGCGACUCAUUUUGACUCGAUAAAAACAUUUGAAAAAUGUUGCGGUUUAUGAGCAUGAUCGGAAACACGCUCUGAUACCACCAUUUGUAACACCCCCGGACCGUACCAGGCCGGACUAACCCGGUACGUCCCGGGAGCGCCACAAGUAUAGCUCACCGUACCGGUUCAACCAAGAAUCAAGAACAAGUCAAGACUCUCGACCAAUCCGUUCCAGUUUGCUAUGACCUCGAUAACAUGGCCUAAGGCUUCACAACCCG
rnacentral:lncRNA from 1 species